rnacentral:rRNA from 1 species
AACCUGCCCCUAAGUCUGGGAUACCAUUUGGAAACAGGUGCUAAUACCGGAUAAUAAAGCAGAUCGCAUGAUCAGCUUUUGAAAGGCGGCGUAAGCUGUCGCUAAGGGAUGGCCCCGCGGUGCAUUAGCUAGUUGGUAAGGUAACGGCUUACCAAGGCGACGAUGCAUAGCCGAGUUGAGAGACUGAUCGGCCACAUUGGGACUGAGACACGGCCCAAACUCCUACGGGAGGCAGCAGUAGGGAAUCUUCCACAAUGGACGCAAGUCUGAUGGAGCAACGCCGCGUGAGUGAAGAAGGUUUUCGGAUCGUAAAGCUCUGUUGUUGGUGAAGAAGGAUAGAGGUAGUAACUGGCCUUUAUUUGACGGUAAUCAACCAGAAAGUCACGGCUAACUACGUGCCAGCAGCCGCGGUAAUACGUAGGUGGCAAGCGUUGUCCGGAUUUAUUGGGCGUAAAGCGAGCGCAGGCGGAAAAAUAAGUCUAAUGUGAAAGCCCUCGGCUUAACCGAGGAACUGCAUCGGAAACUGUUUUUCUUGAGUGCAGAAGAGGAGAGUGGAACUCCAUGUGUAGCGGUGGAAUGCGUAGAUAUAUGGAAGAACACCAGUGGCGAAGGCGGCUCUCUGGUCUGCAACUGACGCUGAGGCUCGAAGCAUGGGUAGCGAACAGG